rnacentral:rRNA from 1 species
AACGUAGGACGCAAGCGUUAUCCGGAGUUACUGGGCGUAAAGAGCGUGUAGGCGGCUCGAUAAGUCCGCUGUGAAAGUCCAGGGCUCAACCCUGGAAGGCCGGUGGAAACUGUCGGGCUAGAGUCCGGAAGAGGCGAGUGGAAUUCCCGGUGUAGCGGUGAAAUGCGCAGAUAUCGGGAGGAACACCAAUGGCGAAGGCGGCAUCCUGGACCGGCAUUGACGCUGAGGCGCGAAAGCCAGGGGAGCAAACGGG